UACGAAGGGGGCAAGCGUUUGUUCGGAAUUAUUGGGCGUAAAGGGUGCGUAGGCGGUUUGGUAAGUCUUAUGUGAAAUCUACAGGCUCAACUUGUAGUCUGCACGGGAAACUGCGGGGCUUGAGUGUGGGAGAGGGUCGUGGAAUUCCCAGUGUAGAGGUGAAAUUCGUAGAUAUUGGGAAGAACACCGGUGGCGAAGGCGGCGACCUGGGCCAAUAUUGACGCUGAGGUGCGAAAGCGUGGGGAGCAAACAGG
rnacentral:rRNA from 1 species